GACGGAAGGAAACCAUGUAGGCCCUAUAUUGUGCUACGUGAUACGCUGGGUAGUCAUGUGUGGACUGCAUAGCUGCUGGCCGCAUAAGCAGCCACCCUUUAAAAAGUGCGUAAUAGCUUACUGGUCAAGUGCUUUUGCGCCGAAAAUGAAUGGGACUAAGUAUUUUGCCGAAGCUGUAGGAUAAUAUCGGUAGAAGAGCGUUCUGUAUUGGUUUGAAGCAAUAAUGAAAAUAGUUGUGGACUAAGCAGAAGUGAGAAUGUCGGCUUAAGUAACGAAAACAUUGGUGGAAAUCCAAUGCCCCGAAAGCCUAAGGUUUCCUUCGCAAGGCUCGUCCACGAAGGGUUAGUCAGGUCCUAAAAUAAGGUUAAUAAACGUAGUUGAUGGAUAACAGGUUAAUAUUCCUGUACCGUGUUUUAUUUGUUGAAAGUGACGAAGAAGGCUAUGUCAGCCAUAUAUUGGUUGUUUUGGUUUAAUCUUUCCAGACGUUGAGAAGUAGAAAAAAAAAAAUGCUUCGAGUUGAGAAGAGAAUACGAAUAGCAUUACGGUGCUUAAAGUGAUUUAUGUCAUGCUUCCAAGAAAAGCUUUUACAACGCGUAGUAAAACACGCCUGUACCUUAAACUGACACAGGUAGGCUAGUAGAGUAUACUAAGGGGCGCGAGAUAACUCUUUCUAAGGAACUCGGCAAAAUGACUCUGUAACUUCGGGAGAAAGAGUACCUCUAUUAACAUGAGGUCGCAGUAAUCAGACUCAAGCGACUGUUUACCAAAAACACAGGUCUCCGCUAAGUUGUAAAACUAUGUAUGGGGGCUGACGCCUGCCCAGUGCCGGAAGGUUAAAAAAAUUGGUUAGCGUAAGCAAAGCUGGUGAUUGAAGCCCUGGUGAACGGCGGCCGUAACUAUAACGGUCCUAAGGUAGCGAAAUUCCUUGUCGGGUAAGUUCCGACCCGCACGAAAGGCGUAACGAUUUGAGUACUGUCUCAGAAAGAGACUCGGUGAAAUAGAAUUGACUGUGAAGAUGCGGUCUACUUGCACUUGGACAGACAGACCCUAUGAAGCUUUACUGUAACUUGAAAUUGGUUUUGGACUUUCUCUGCGCAGCAUAGGUGGGAGGCUAUGAACUUCUUUUUCGGAAGAUAGGGAGCCACAAUAUGAGAUACCACUCUGAGAAAGUUAGGAAUCUAAUGGCAUUGUUUUAUCAAGAUGUUUGACAGUUUCAGGCGGGCAGUUUUACUGGGGCGGUAGCCUCCUAAAAGGUAACGGAGGCGUACAAAGGUUUUCUCAGUCUGGACGGAAAUUAGUUGAAGAGUGUAAAGACAUAAGAAAGCUUGACUGUGAGACCUACAAGUCGAACAGAGACUAAAGUCGGUCUUAGUGAUCCGACGGUGCUGUGUGGAAAGGCCGUCGCUUAACGGAUAAAAGUUACUCUAGGGAUAACAGGCUGAUCUCCCCCAAGAGUUCACAUCGACGGGGAGGUUUGGCACCUCGAUGUCGGCUCAUCGCAGCCUGGGGCGGUAGUACGUCCCAAGGGUUGGGCUGUUCGCCCAUUAAAGCGGUACGUGAGCUGGGUUCAGAACGUCGAGAGACAGUUCGGUCCAUAUCCGGUGUGAGUGGUAGAGUAUUGAAAGGAUAAUUCUCUAGUUCGAGAGGACCGGGAAGGACACACCACUGAUGUACCAGUUUUUGUGCCAACAGAAGACGCGGGAUUCCCGGG
rnacentral:rRNA from 1 species